CACUUCAUUUGAAUCUUCUUCUUUGUCUCUCUCUUCUUCUAUACAUAAUUUGGUGAAAUAAUAAUAAAAAAAAAAAAACUACUUCCUCAUUUGCAACUAUAUAUGAAUUCUCUCCUUUAUAUAUAGCAAUUUCAUUCACUAAUAAGACACUAACCAUGGUUCUAAUGCCCCUAAUGUUUGGUUCACUAGUGAAGCUAGCAAAGGCACUAGUGUGUGAACCUACUACCACUCUCACAACCAUUCUCUAUUAUGGCAAUUUGCUUCCUAGAAAUCUUAACUUGGAGAGAUUAGUACGAAGUGAAUUUCUUCACCAAGAAAACUAUUUCUUUCAUUUUCUCAUUACCAUAUUGAGGUGUGUUUGGUAAUUAGAAAGACACAAUGCAUCAAAUUAUGUGAAAAUUUAAGUUUUUGUGUAUGUGUCAGAUUAAAAUCGAAAGAAAUAUGUAUCUUUAAUAUUCAACAAUGUCAGACACAUGAUUACUUUUAGUGAAUGAAACACGUGAGAAACCAAAAAAAAAAAUAUUAUGUACUUUUUGAGGUACUCCAUGGUGUAGCAAAGUGAUAGUGUUUGAAAGUUGUAAUAUAUAUGUAGAUGUUUUGAUGAUAGUUUCCAAAGACACAUUUGUUUUUGUUCCUACCCA